rnacentral:rRNA from 1 species
GGAUUUGAUACCCUUGGUGGUGCAGGCCGUAAAGGAUGUCUACUUGGGAGGUUGUGGCCUUGAGCCGGUGGCUUUCGGAGUUAACGCGUUAAGUAGACCGCCUGGGGGAGUACGGUCGCAGGAUUAAAACUCAAAUGAAUUGACGGGGGCCCGCACAAGCGGUGGAGCAUGUGGUUUAAUUCGAUGCAACGCGAAGAACCUUACCUACUCUUGACAUCCAGAGAAGCCAGCGGAGACGCAGGUGUGCCUUCGGGAGCUCUGAGACAGGUGCUGCAUGGCUGUCGUCAGCUCGUGUUGUGAAAUGUUGGGUUAAGUCCCGCAACGAGCGCAACCCUUAUCCUUGUUUGCCAGCGAGUAAUGUCGGGAACUCCAGGGAGACUGCCGGUGAUAAACCGGAGGAAGGUGGGGACGACGUCAAGUCAUCAUGGCCCUUACGAGUAGGGCUACACACGUGCUACAAUGGCGCAUACAGAGGGCAGCAAGCUAGCGAUAGUGAGCGAAUCCCAAAAAGUGCGUUUUUUUCGGGAUUGGAGUCUGCAACUCGACUCCAUGAAGUCGGAAUCGCUAGUAAUCGUGAAUCAGAAUGUCACGGUGAAUACGUUCCCGGGCCUUGUACACACCGCCCGUCACACCAUGGGAGUGGGCUGCAAAAGAAGUGGGUAGUUUAACCUUUCGGGGAGGACGCUCACCACUUUGUGUGCAUACUGAU